rnacentral:snRNA from 1 species
GGAUGUGAGGGUGAUCUGGCUGUGACAGCUGUCACCAGAUUGAUCACCAGGAUUGAUUCGGCUGAUCUGGCUGGCUCAGCGGGCAUCCCCUUCCUCCCUCACCACUCCAUGUGCAACCCUCCCAAAGCUACACUCUCAAAAUAGAGACGGACAGGUCUUUGGUUGAGGGUAUAGAAGUAGCUGCCCUCCCCAGCUAGAACCUCCAAACAAGCUCUCAGAAUAGACCUGGAGCUUGUGCUGGCUUCAGACUUCACCAUGUCUUGGUAUGUUUCU